rnacentral:rRNA from 1 species
AUUGAACGCUGGCGGCAGGCCUUACACAUGCAAGUCGGACGAGUGGCGGACGGGUGAGUAAUGUCUCGGAAACUGCCUGAUAGAGGGGGAUAACUACUGGAAACGGUAGCUAAUACCGCAUACCAUCAGAUGUGCCCAGGUGUGAUUAGCUAGUUGGUGGGGUAAAGGCCCACCAAGGCGACGCUCCCUAGCGGGUCUGAGAGGAUGACCCGACACACUGGAACUGAGACACGGUCCAGACUCCUACGGGAGUCAGCAGUGGGGAAUUUUGGACAAUGGGCGCAAGCCUGAUGCAGCCAUGCCGCGUGUAUGAAGAAGGCCUUCGGGUUGUAAAGUACUUUUGGCAGGGAGGCGUUACCUGCAGAAGAAGCACCGGCUAACUACGUGCCAGCCGCCGCGGUAAUUC